UACGUAGGGUGCAAGCGUUGUCCGGAAUUAUUGGGCGUAAAGAGCUCGUAGGCGGUUUGUCGCGUCUGCUGUGAAAACUGGAGGCUCAACCUCCAGCCUGCAGUGGGUACGGGCAGACUAGAGUGCGGUAGGGGAGACUGGAAUUCCUGGUGUAGCGGUGAAAUGCGCAGAUAUCAGGAGGAACACCGGUGGCGAAGGCGGGUCUCUGGGCCGUAACUGACGCUGAGGAGCGAAAGCGUGGGGAGCGAACAGG
rnacentral:rRNA from 1 species